rnacentral:piRNA from 1 species
UAGGGUAUAUGACACCAGGAUCCUGGUA